CUUUAUUGGAGAGUUUGAUCCUGGCUCAGGAUGAACGCUGGCGGCGUGCCUAAUACAUGCAAGUCGAGCGAAUGGAUUAAGAGCUUGCUCUUAUGAAGUUAGCGGCGGACGGGUGAGUAACACGUGGGUAACCUGCCCAUAAGACUGGGAUAACUCCGGGAAACCGGGGCUAAUACCGGAUAACAUUUUGCACCGCAUGGUGCGAAAUUGAAAGGCGGCUUCGGCUGUCACUUAUGGAUGGA
rnacentral:rRNA from 1 species